rnacentral:rRNA from 1 species
GACGAACGCUGGCGGCGUGCUUAACACAUGCAAGUCGAACGGAGUGGCGAACGGGUGAGUAACACGUGGGUGACCCUCCCUGCACUGCGGGAUAAGCCUGGGAAACUGGGUCUAAUACCGGAUAGUGUGGGAUGGGCCCGCGGCCUAUCAGCUUGUUGGUGGGGUAAUGGUCUACCAAGGCGGCGACGGGUAGCCGGCCUGGGAGGGUGGACGGCCACAUUGGGACUGGGACACAGCCCAGAGUCCUACGUGGGGCAGCAGUGGGGAAUAUUGCACACUGGGCGGGAACCUGAUGCAGAGUCGCCGCGUGGGUGAUGACGGCCUUCGGGGUGUAAACUCCUUUCACGAUCGACGCGGUAGAUGGAGAAGAAGCACCGGCUAACUACGUGCCAGCAGCCGCGGUAAUUC